AAUUGGAAUGAGUACACCUUAAAUCGUUUAACGAGUAUCAAUUGGAGGGCAAGUCUGGUGCCAGCAGCCGCGGUAAUUCCAGCUCCAAUAGCGUAUAUUAAAGUUGCUGCAGUUAAAAAGCUCGUAGUUGGAUCUGGGGCUUGAGGUCGCUGUCUAUCGUUUCGGCGAUGACGGUGAUGCUCAGCUCUGCUUGCCGGUGACUGUUGCGGUGUUCUUCACUGAGCGCUGUAGCAGCACGGCACGUUUACUUUGAAAAAAUUAGAGUGCUCAAAGCGUGCUUGUCGCUUGAAUAAUGUUGCAUGGAAUAAUGGAAUAGGACCUCGGUUCUAUUUUGUUGGUUUUCGGAGCUUGAGGUAAUGAUUAAGAGGGACGAACGGGGGCAUUCGUAUUGCGGUGUUAGAGGUGAAAUUCUUGGAUCGCCGCAAGACGGACUACUGCGAAAGCAUUUGCCAAGAACGCUUUCAUUAAUUAGAACGAAAGUCAGAGGUUCGAAGACGAUCAGACACCGUCCUAGUUCUGACCAUAAACGAUGCCGACCAGCGAUCCGUAGUGGUUGCUUUAUGGACCCUACGGGCAGCCUCCGGGAAACCAAAGUAUUUGGGUUCCGGGGGAAGUAUGGUUGCAAAGCUGAAACUUAAAGGAAUCGACGGAAGGGCACACCAGGAGUGGAGCCUGCGGCUUAAUUUGACCCAACACGGGAAAACUCACCCGGUCCGGACACCGUAAGGAUUGACAGACUGAUAGCUCUUUCUUGAUUCGGUGGAUGGUGGUGCAUGGCCGUUCUUAGUUGGUGGAGUGAUUUGUCUGGUUAAUUCCGAUAACGAACGAGACUCUAGCCUGCUAAGUAGUGUUGCUAUUGUUAUAUGGUUGACACUUCUUAGAGGGACAAGUGGCAUUUAGCCACGCGAAAUUGAGCAAUAACAGGUCUGUGACGCCCUUAGAUGUCCGGGGCCGCACGCGCGCUACACUGGAGAAGUCAGCGUGUGUUAUCCAAGUCCGAAAGGACUGGGUUAUCCGUUGAACCUUCUUCGUGCUUGGGACUGUGGCUUGGAACUAUUCCACAUGAACGAGGAAUUCCUAGUAAUUGCAAGUCAUAAGCUUGCGUUGAUUACGUCCCUGCCCUUUGUACACACCGCCCGUCGCUACUACCGAUUGAAUGGUUUAGCAAGGUCCUCGGAUCGUGGCCGUAGGGGCACGCAAGUGUUUCUGCGGUUUGCGAGAAGACGACCAAACUUGAUCAUUUAGA
rnacentral:rRNA from 1 species